AACCUAGCACACCUGCGGUGUGUACCUGCGGAAGGAUCAUUAACCUUUCAAAAACAGGGUGCGUCGCGGCCCCCCUCCGGGGGCGGUUUGGGGUCCUCCCCUUCACGCGCGCACGACUGCAUCCUUACUUUACGAGCACCUUCUGUUCUCCCUCGGCGGGGCAACCUGCCGUUGGAACCGAAUAAACCCUUUUUUGCAUCCAGCAUUACCCGUUCCGAAACAAACAAUCGUUACAACUUU
rnacentral:misc_RNA from 1 species